CUGCAACCUCCACCUCCGGGGUUCAAGCAAUUCUCCUGCCUCAGCUUCCCGAGUAGCUGGGAUUACAGGCGCCCACCACCAUGCCCAGCUAAUUUUUGUAUUUUUAGUAGAGACGGAGUUUCACCAUGUGGGCCAGGCUGGUCUUGAACUCCUGACCUUGUGAUCUGCCCACCUCGGUCUCCCAAAGUGCUGGGAUUACAGGCGCCCACCACAAUUCAGUCUUCACACACACACACACACACACACACACACACACACACACACACAAAUGCACCCUCACAAAGAGCACAUUCUUUACUUCAAGUCCAAGGCCUAUAAGAAGAGUUUUCUGUCGAAGGUCAGCAGCUCUGAUUGUAUUGCUUUAUUUAGAACAUAGUUUUUGUUGAAACUCAUUCCAUUACCUUUGAGUUCACGGAAGUGGAGCCCAUUAGAAGAAUCAGCAGUCAAGAGGCUCCCAUACAGGCUUAGAGAGUGAUGCUAAACUUAGGUUUAUUUGGCUACUGUGGUUUAUUGACAGGGGCCUCUCUUUUUCUGUCUCUCCUUUUAAUGGAGCCUGCAUUUUCCUGUUUUGCAACCGCCAACCUGUUCAUGGUGGGAAGAAAGGAAACUUCUUAUCUCUACUCCUAAGCUCUCUACUCCUCCAGCAAGUGGCCUACUUCCCAUUGCCCUGGUAUGGCUAAUCGACACCCACAAACAGGCCUCAGGCUGGCACAGGCAGGGGUACAGAAUAGACAGUUCUGUGUCCCUGGUCCUGGUGGAGUGGGUUUACGGACCUGACCAUUGCCCUGUCUCUUGGCUUCCGACCUGUGUACACUGUCUUGACUGCCAGAGUCCUAGUAUCUGUGGAGGCAGCCACUCCCUCACCUGGCCCCUGCUUUCCACCCCACUGGCUUUGUGCCCUGGGGUGGGCGUCAUGUGCUUCCUGGUCUACAAAAUGGGGGUGAUAACUCCCACAACACCUAUACAGGUGUGCUUACACUUAAAAAGUACGGUUACAGGCCAGGUGUAGUGGUUAAUGCCUGCAAUCCCUUGGGAGGCCAAGGUGGGAGGAUUGCUUGAGCUCAGGAGUUUGAGACCAACCUGGGCAACACGGCGGAAUCCCGUCUCUACCAAAAAUACAAAAAUAAAAAUUACCAGGCGUGGAGACGUGUGCCUGUAUUUCCAGCUACUCGGGAGGCUAAGGUAGGAGGAUCACUUGAACCUAGGAGUGGGAGGUUGCAGUGAGCUAAGAUCAAGCCACUGUACUUCAGCCUGGGUGACAGAGCAAGACUCUGCCUCAAAAAAAAAAUAUUGUAAGGUGUCAUGAGACUGGCAACGAUGAAACAUUUGGACCAUGCCUAUGCUGACAUUGUGAAGGGCAUGCCCUCAGAGUCAGCUGGCGGUGGGGGUCAGGGUGAAUUAAUCCAACUGUUCCCAAGAGCAAUUUGUCAGUAUUUGUGAAAACAAAAAUUGUUAUUUAUCUUUUGAACCAUUAAUUCCACUUCUAGGAAUUUGUGCAAUGAAAAUACCAAAGACUACAUAUGGGGAGGUUGUCUGUGACAUUCCUUACAGUGGUUAAUCCCGGAAGCCAUCUAAAUGCCCACUUUCCUCUCUAACACAGCUAUUCUAUGGUAUACUAGGUACCCACUAAAAAGAAUGAGAUUGUGAUCCAUGGACUGAUAUGACAUGAUCUUCAAGAAAUAUUUUUGUGUGUGUGAAAAAGGGUACAAGACAGUAUAUAUGUGAUCUUAUCUUUAUGUUUAAAAAUAGGAUGUAAUUGUGUGUGUGUGUGUGUGUGUGUGUGUGUGUGUGUGUGUGUGUGUGUGUGUGUGCUGAGAAUAUUUCUGGAAAAAGAAUGUGUAGAAAACAGAAUUUUUUCCAGGGAGGGAGGGCAGAGGUGGAGGGAGAAUUAUUUUUCACUGUGUGCUCUUGCACUUGAAAUUUUUAUGCGUUUGUGUAAUUUAAACACAAUUUUGGAAUAUAAAAAGUAUGUAAGCUACUUCCAUUCUAAUUACUGGCAAGUUUUUAUUUCUAGAAUGCUUCUAUGUCACAGAGAGUGGCUCUGAGAAUGACCUUUGAAGAAUGGGAAGAUGACACAGGCUUCAGAGGACCAAAGUAGGAUGUGGGCUCCACAGAGUCGGCCGCCACUUGCUACCUCUGGAGGCUGCCUGUAGUCUUAAGCCCAGGAAAGGCAGUCUCCCCAGCCCCUGUCACUGCUACCUGUGGCCGCAUCUAGCCCCCAGCACCUCCUCCUCAGGCCCCAUCUCUGGAGGGGCCAUCACUCAUAAUUCAGUGGGU
rnacentral:lncRNA from 1 species